AUCCCUCCCGUUUCAUUGCAUAGAAUCCAGAUGGGAGAGAUUUAAACUCUCCUCCCUAUCAAUGAACAUUACUCUUGAUCCAAAUUGAGGUUGCACAAACUUACUUUUGAGUUGUAAAAAAGGAUUUUAAGCUGCAUAACAUGUGCUUAACAUAUUGUGUUCUCUGAGGUGUACGACGUUAUCCCAUAGGCAGGAGGGAAGGGGGAGUAAAGAAAAGUGGGGGAAAGCAUCCUUAAUAGUGAGGACACAAUCUACCCUGGCAAGAUCCAUCUUCAGGGGUAGCCAGUUACCCCACAAUGUUUCCUAUCUUCCUCCAUUUCCUGCUGCUGUCUUCUAUCAGAAUUCAGAGGAACACCUGACAACUGACUUUUCUCUUCUUUUUUUUUUCAUGCUGGUGGCACAGAUUUCAAUGCACAGUCACUGGACUCCAACAUUGGACUCCAUUGCAACAGCGUAUGAAGAUGGUCACCCACCAACCGUCUGCAAAUCGAGAUGAGAAACUCCCCCCUGGGCACACAGAAGACUGGGUGACUUCAAAGGUGCUGAACAGACUGUGGUCUGGCACCAUGAGAUGCAAAGCUAGCCUUAAGAAAUGAGGCUACAAAGUGGAGUCCAUGACAUGUGAGUGUGGAGAAGAGCAAACCACAGACCACUUACUAUAAUGGAACAUGAGUCCUGCCACAUGCACAAUUCACAGCAACACCAGGGGCACUCCAAGUGGCCAGCUUCUGGUCAAAGGAAAUUUAGUAUAAUGGCAAUUUUUUACGUUGUUUGUGGUUUUUCUAUACAUUAUAACUGUAUUCUCAAUUUGUUUCUGACACAAUAAAUUAAUAACCCAACAACCUGUAGAAUAAUGUGCUCUCUUUUUUAAUAUUGCCAUUGCAAUAAACUGUGUCUUUUGGCAAUGUUAAUCCUAUAUUUUGGUCAUAGAUAUAUUUGUCAAUGUGGUUCUUUGCUUUUGCUGCAUUUGAUUUUAUCUUGUUAUUACCUGUACUUGUUACCUAAUUUUUGAUUGAUUUACAAGGCUUUUAUGUCAGAGAUUGAACAGUAUAACUUGAAACACACAAACAAAAUAUUUUUACUAUCACAAUUCUCUCAAAAGGUGAAGAGCUUAGAUUAGCAUGGGGCAUUGAUGUGUUAUCAAAAAUUAAAUCACAAAAUUAUGAAUUGUUAUCUGUGGCUCCAUUGAGAUAUGCAGCGAGCAUGCAUUGGAUUUUUCCUUGCCAGCUAAUAACCUUUCAUACAUUUUCCUUGGAAUGUUGUAAAAUGUUUCCUACCACACCUUAGGACCUUUAAUAAUGGCUUUAUGAUUAUCAUAAUCCCCUCAUAAUACCCUGGAAAAAAAUCUCAAGACACAUAAUGGAUUUUCUCAUGAAGAGACACAAAUGUUUCCCACCUUUAUCUGAUUUUAUCUAAAACUUUAUCCUGGGAACAUUGCUUCAACUAUAACAUCUACCGAGACCUCCUCUGUGUAUCCUACAUUGUGUGUAACUGUGCGUUAGACACCUGUUGUCCAUUGGCUGACAACUCCUUUGUCUAGCUGGCAUUGGACCAUCAGGAGCUAUCAACCAACCAUCAAACCAAAUUCUACCCAGAGGCACCCAGUUUCUGGGAAGGACUCACAAACAGAUAUCCACAAAUAACAAUUUAUUAAAUUUCCCACCUCACCUCUGAUUGGCUCAGGGACAGAAGUGGACUCGUACCUCCUCCAGUGGGGCUGCAGAUCCUAGCCAGCAUCAUCCAGGACAAACAACAAACUGGCACAGCAAUUUUUCAACUGUUCUGUACUGCUUCUUCUUUCUAUCA
ensembl:lncRNA